rnacentral:rRNA from 1 species
UACGAAGGGGGCUAGCGUUGCUCGGAAUCACUGGGCGUAAAGGGUGCGUAGGCGGGUCUUUUAAGUCAGGGGUGAAAUCCUGGAGCUCAACUCCAGAACUGCCUUUGAUACUGAAGAUCUUGAGUUCGGGAGAGGUGAGUGGGAACUGCGAGUGUAGAGGUGAAAUUCGUAGAUAUUCGCAAGAACACCAGUGGCGAAGGCGGCUCACUGGCCCGAUACUGACGCUGAGGCACGAAAGCGUGGGGAGCA